rnacentral:rRNA from 1 species
UCAGAUUGAACGCUGGCGGCAUGCCUUACACAUGCAAGUCGAACGGCAGCAUGAUCUAGCUUGCUAGAUUGAUGGCGAGUGGCGAACGGGUGAGUAAUACAUCGGAACGUGCCCUGUAGUGGGGGAUAACUAGUCGAAAGAUUAGCUAAUACCGCAUACGACCUGAGGGUGAAAGUGGGGGACCGCAAGGCCUCAUGCUAUAGGAGCGGCCGAUGUCUGAUUAGCUAGUUGGUGGGGUAAAGGCCCACCAAGGCGACGAUCAGUAGCUGGUCUGAGAGGACGAUCAGCCACACUGGGACUGAGACACGGCCCAGACUCCUACGGGAGGCAGCAGUGGGGAAUUUUGGACAAUGGGCGAAAGCCUGAUCCAGCAAUGCCGCGUGUGUGAAGAAGGCCUUCGGGUUGUAAAGCACUUUUGUCCGGAAAGAAAUGGCUCUGGUUAAUACCUGGGGUCGAUGACGGUACCGGAAGAAUAAGGACCGGCUAACUACGUGCCAGCAGCCGCGGUAAUACGUAGGGUCCAAGCGUUAAUCGGAAUUACUGGGCGUAAAGCGUGCGCAGGCGGUUGUGCAAGACCGACGUGAAAUCCCCGAGCUUAACUUGGGAAUUGCAUUGGUGACUGCACGGCUAGAGUGUGUCAGAGGGGGGUAGAAUUCCACGUGUAGCAGUGAAAUGUGUAGAGAUGUGGAGGAAUACCGAUGGCGAAGGCAGCCCCCUGGGAUAACACUGACGCUCAUGCACGAAAGCGUGGGGAGCAAACAGGAUU